rnacentral:sRNA from 15 species
AUAAUUGGGGUAUGGUGCCGGGAAUCCGAAAGGACCGGAAAGGCUUUCAUCGGCCUUGAGACACCUAACCCCCAUUCUGUU